UACAGGGGGGCAAGCGUUGUUCGGAAUUACUGGGCGUAAAGGGCCAGUAGGCGGCCAACUAAGUCACACGUGAAAUCCCCAGGCUUAACCUGGGAACUGCGUGUGAUACUGGAUGGCUUGAAUUCGGGAGAGGGAUGCAGAAUUCCAGGUGUAGCGGUGAAAUGACGUAGAUAUCGGGAGGAACACCAGUGGCGAAGGCGGGCAUCUGGGCCAACACUGACGCUGAGG
rnacentral:rRNA from 1 species